UACGUAGGGUGCAAGCGUUGUCCGGAAUUAUUGGGCGUAAAGAGCUCGUAGGCGGUCUGUCGCGUCGGCUGUGAAAACCCGGAGCUCAACUCCGGGCCUGCAGUCGAUACGGGCAGACUGGAGUUCGGCAGGGGAGACUGGAAUUCCUGGUGUAGCGGUGAAAUGCGCAGAUAUCAGGAGGAACACCGGUGGCGAAGGCGGGUCUCUGGGCCGAUACUGACGCUGAGGAGCGAAAGCGUGGGGAGCGAACAGGAUAGAA
rnacentral:rRNA from 1 species